AGUAACACGUGGGCAACCUGCCCUGAAGCGGGGGAUAACAUCUGGAAACAGGUGCUAAUACCGCAUAACAACGAAAGCCACAUGGUUUUCGUUUCAAAGAUGGUUUCGGCUAUCACUUCAGGAUGGGCCCGCGGUGCAUUAGCUAGUUGGUAAGGUAACGGCUUACCAAGGCAAUGAUGCAUAGCCGAGUUGAGAGACUGAUCGGCCACAUUGGGACUGAGACACGGUCCAAACUCCUACGGGAGGCAGCAGGG
rnacentral:rRNA from 1 species